CUUUCUGCUCUUUGCAACACCUCUCGUCCUUUCUCUCUCUCCUUUCGGCUCUCCUGCCCUCCUCUCCACCCAGGCUUCUUUCAUAAUUAGGCUGGAAGUGGAACUUUCCCCCACUCCCUUGUUUUGAGAUUUCUUUUUCCCCAGUGACCUGGGAUGCACUUUGCCCCCACUCCCUGCUUGCCGAUCCCCUCGGGGUUAGGGCCUCCCUCGCGCCAUUCUCGCGGGCUGCCCCUCCUUGCGAGCCAUGGGAGGCCCAGCCUCCCAGAGUCCGAUCCCUUCCAGCACUGCAGCCCCCUGCGGAGGAAGGAAGAGGCCUCCUCAGAAUGAAUGGCUGAAGACCCGACACAUCGGCCGAGGUGCUACUGACCUAGCAGCUUCUGCCCACGAUGCAGCCGGGAGAAGCUCGAAAAGGUCCCUGUAAAGAAAAACAGAACUGGAAAACGAGAAGCUUCGUUACCCUGUGUGCAGCUCAGUGGCAUGGAGUACAGUCCAACUGUCCUACAGCCAUCACCACCAUCCACCUCCAGAGCUUCCACCUUCCGCAGCUGACACUCUGUACCUUUUCAACGUUAACGCCCCGUUCUCUGCUCCCUCCGGCCCCUGGCAACCACCACUCCACUUUCUGUCUCUGUGAAUCUGACAGCUGUUGGAGUCUCCGAAGAAGAAGGUGAAGGAGAAAAGACAAGAAGAAGCAGAAGAAAGCCAGAUUUCUGGAGCAGAGGUGGAGAUGACAGCAAAGUGGAAGAGAUCCGGGAGAAGGGACAGAGAUGUGAAUGUCUGCUUGGGGCAUGACACAGCCUGGCACUGCUUUACUCAGCGAAGGCACUUUCUGAAGAGCAAAUCUCUGCUGGAUCCUAGUGUGGAUGCCUCUCCCAGGCCCAAAGAGCCACAAAAGCAUCACAAAAAUGGAUCUUGAAAAAAAGACAGUGUGGGUGUAGAUUUUCCCUUGUACUAGUAUUAUUUAUUUUGCUGGUGGUUGUAAUUUUAAAAUUUGUCUCUUAAAGCUCAAACUAAUAAGCAUCUGUUCCCAGGGGAUUAAAAAAAAAAGAGCUGUUCCUAAUUGAUUAACAUAACCAGAAUCCUACAAUGCUGGAGGCCGGAGCUAUGUCAAAACCUACCUUCCUACUGUUUUGUUUUUAAAGAACAAAACCAAAACUGUCUUCGUAUAGACAAGGGCAGCCAGUAUUGUCUGUGUCUCUCAGAUGAGAAAACAUGAAGCUGGGCUGGGCCAGCCACUUUCUCCACGCACUAAUUAGUAGCCCCACCAGCUUUCCUUGUUUCUAAUUCAGGGCCAUUUGCAGUGGACUCUGCUCUGUGUGUAAAAUCCUACCAAGCCUCCUUUCACUGUUUUGCAUUCCAGGAUGUUUCAAACAAAAUGUUAAAUUGGUCCAUAAGAGGAAGGUUUGUUAAAAAUACAAAACUCCCUAGAAUCGCAGUAAUCCCCUCAUUCUUACAAGAAUGUAAACAGGACAUCAAUACAGGGAACAUUUGCCCAUGGAGAAGUCGCCUCUGAGUGAGAACCUUCACUCCUUUCCUUGUGCCAAUUGGCAUCAUUUUGCAGCCCUAGACACGAUCAGUAACCUCGAAAUGAGCUCUCUCGGACUGAAUGAGGGAAAGGUACACCCUCAAAGGGGGAGAGAAGUAAGGGCUUCAGGUUAACAUAGACAGCAGGCCAUCCUAAGGAGAAAUGUUUAGAGGAAUUUACUAUUAGGCUUCUAAGUAAUUCUAUUCAUUUACUUAAAUAAGUACUUUUAAACGCCUGCCUUAUAUGAAACCUGUCACUAUACCUUAACUACAUGCCAGUAUUGUUAAUAUGUCCUUUUUCUCACCAUCUCAAAUCAUAUACAAUUUUCAAGGCUUAGCUCAAAUCCUGCCUCUUCCAGGAAGCCUUCUGAGAUUUUCCCUAUGUUUCCCUUUUAUGUGCUCCCAGCCAGGACACCCAUUAAAGAACAUCAUUGUGCUGUGCUGUCCUGACUGUGUUUCUCACCCCAGCAAGUAUCAGCUCCCUGAGAAGAGGGUCGCCACC